rnacentral:lncRNA from 1 species
CCUUAUUCAGUGCUUUUGAAGGAAGUCCAGUGACAAGUACCAUUUUUUAUGUGUUUUAAGUAAGGUUUUGAUACAUGUAGGAAUAACGGAUUCAGUUUCAUUUCGAAUCGGAGAUAUUGUAAAAACCAACAUGCAAUGAAUACAGCAGCCACAAGAAUGAAAAACUUUGCCGCCUAUCCAUGUAUACAAGGGUGUUACAUAAAAUAGCCUGAAAUAUCAUAUAAUAAUAUCGGAAUGUUUACAUCUGACGGCGUUACAUUUAUUUGAUUUGGGCAAUUGUUUUUCUUAUUUCAUUACAGGGUAAUUUUAAAAUAAAUACAUGUAUGGUCAUUUAAAAGU